rnacentral:sRNA from 1 species
CCAGUCAACCCAGCACAAAUGAAAUUCUUCAAGCUGUUCUGAAGGAAUGUAGCAAAGAGAAUCUCAAAUACAAGAUUGUAGCAAUCAGCUGUGCAGCUGAUAUCUUGAAGGCCACCAAAGAGGACAGAUUCCAGGAGUUUUCUGACAUUGUCAUACCUCUCAUCAAGAAGAACUCACUUGAAAGCAGUGGGGUCCGGACAACCAAAAAUGAAGAGGAGAAUGAAAAGGAAAAGGAGCUCCAGCUGGAAUAUCUGCUGGGUGCCUUUGAAAGCCUGGGCAAAGCCUGGCCCCGAAACGCAGAGACCCAACGUUGUUAUCGUCAGGAGCUGUGCAAAUUGAUGUGUGAACGGCUAAAACUCAGCACGUGGAAAGUGCAGCUAGGAGUCCUGCAAUCAAUGAAUGCCUUUUUUCAGGGGUUAAUGCUUUUGGAAGAAGAACAUGCUGAUCCUGAGGCUUUGGCUGAAAUUCUGCUUGAAACUUGUAAAUCAAUCACAUAUUCUUUAGGUGAGUGUAGUAAACUAAAACUGAUGAGGGAGUCCUAAUUUUAAAGCUAAGGAGCUGAGCUUCAAAUAUUUCCUACCUUGUCUUAGGAACUAAAUUUCUGAAAUAGCUUGCUGGACUCUGCUACUUAUUAUACUCCAUGUGUACCCCUUAACUGGAAUAUUUAAAUCUGGAACUAUAACAGGAUUUUAGCAUCUAGUUUAGAAAAACCUUCGUGACAAGUAUUUUUACAAAAUUGUUAUUUGAAAGUAAUUUCAAACUUACAGAAUGGUUGCAACGACAGUACAUGCAAUACUCUGCAAUAUGUAUACACUUUAUGCAGAAUCAUUUGUUAACAUUUUGUGCCAUUUGCUUUGUCAUUUGGACUUCUAUAUACAUGUUUUUCUCCUGAACCAUUUGAAAGUAUGUUGCUUACUUCAGGCCCCCUUGUUCCUCAAUUAUUUAGUGUGCCGCGGUACAGUUGUCAACUUUAGAUAGUAAACAUGGAUGCAAUUUUUUAAAUCAAAUGUUUAUCGUUCAUAUUCUAGUUUGUUCAGUUGAUUCGGUAAUGUUCUUUAUUUUUAUUUUUUUCGAGUUGGAGUCUCGCUCUGUCACUCAGGUUGGAGUGCAGUGGUGUGAUCUCAGCUCAUUGCAACCUCUGCUUUCCAGGUUCAAGCAGUCCUCCUGCCUCAGUCUCCCAAGUA